rnacentral:rRNA from 1 species
CCUACGGGAGGCAGCAGUGAGGAAUUUUGGGCAAUGGACGAGAGUCUGAACCAGCAAAGUAGCGUGAAGGAUGACUGCCCCAUGGGUUGUAGACCUCUUUUAUAUGGGAAUACAAUGUUCUACGCGCGGGAUUUUGUAUGUAUCAUAUGAAUAAGGAUCGGCUAACUCCGUGCCAGCAGCCGCGGUAAUACGGAGGAUCCGAGCGUUAUCCGGAUUUAUUGGGUUUAAAGGGUGCGUAGGUGGAUUGUUAAGUCAGUUGUCAAAGUUUGCGGCUCAACCGUAAAAUUGCAGUUGAUACUGGCAGUCUUGAGUACAGUAGAGGUGGGCGGAAUUCGUGGUGUAGCGGUGAAAUGCUUAGAUAUCACGAAGAACUCCGAUUGCGAAGGCAGUUCACUGGACUGCAACUGACACUGAGGCUCGAAAGUGUGGGUAUCAAACAGGAUUAGAUACCCUGGUAGUC